rnacentral:lncRNA from 1 species
CAAACACUGGCUGGGGACCUGCACGGUUAGACAAAGGGAAAACAAGGAUCUAAUUGAUCCAUAAUAUUCAUGAGAAACAGUAAAAAUAAAUUCCAUACUUAAUUGGUAUAUAAAUCAUUUCAGACGUGAAUAAUGAUGCCAGGAUAGGUAAUUUAUUUUAAAAAUCAGAGACUCAUAAAGCCUGGUUUAGUUGUACUUAAAAUCCUCUCUGAAACAAGAAUGGACUCCUCUGUGGAGAAAUUAGUUUCCAGGCACAGAGAUUCAACCUGAAACUGACAGGCAGGAAUAGAGAGGGAAGGAGCAGGCACCAGGCCAAGGUUGGACUGGAUCCACUCAAAGGACCAUGCAGUGGUUUAACUUCAUCUAUCCUUCUAUACCUGGAACUAAAUAGCAGCCAAGGUAAUUUCUCACGUGCAUUUAAGCAAAAUGCAAAGUUAAAAAUCUCCACGCACUCCGUCAAACCAAGGGAUUUCAAGCCAUGGGUAAAAUUAGGAAAACGCAAGGUGUUUCCAAAUGAAGAAGCCAGAAACUUCAGAAAGCAUUUGCUUCUUCUCCAAGGGCCCAGGAGCAAAAAGGGUGAGGUAGUUCCCAACACUGCUUGUCUGUUCUUAAAUGCACUGUACCUCUGUCUCUUAGAAUUAGGGUUUAUGCCUUGCACAUUAAGGGAGAAGGGUGCUCCGAAUUAUCACUGUAGCACUCACCUUCUCCUUCGGGCCUCUGAAGAGAAUACGCUCCCCCGAACACUGCCAUAAAAUAGAAGAAAGGUCUUCUAAGUCACAAUCAUACACAUUCUUUAUUUUUCUAGGUGCCAAUAAAUUUUUAUUAAAAGAGAACAACUAUCUUUCAAAACAGUUACAAUACUGCUUUUCUGAUUAACUGCUGGGAAGCCCUGAUUUCCCAUGUAGGUUUGAUUCAUGAAGCCUCUGGAAGAGUCUUCCAAUCCGACUUCAGUCUCCUCUGGGAAGCACAGGAAGAGCACUGCUGAUGCUGUCUCCCCUUCUGCACCUGUGACCCCGAGGGGCUCCCUCCUCCCCUCCGGACCUGACUUGCCCCGUCAGGGGAAUUUCACUGAAAGCAACAAGUAAAUCAAGCCUAGCCAGCUCUCUGGAAAACUUCCCAACAGCCCCCGCCCCCAAAAAAUCAAGAUAUAAACUUCAUUUCUUCACGUUCAACUUUCACAGAUGAAUAUGAACAGGGUCAUAUUUGUGAAAGUAUCAAAGAGCAAUACAUUUGUCUGAACAGCCUCUGAUAGCUUUCAUCGCUGUGACAAAACACCCAAGAAAGUCAGCUUAAAAGAGAAAAGAUUUAUUUUGGCUUACAGUUUCAGAGGUUGUAGUCCUUGGUGAACUGGUUCCAUUGCUUUUAAGCCGGGGACCAGGCAGAAACAUCAUGAUGAAAAGUGUGAGAGAGAAGCCCUGCCCACCUUGUGGCGGCCAGUAAGCAGGGAGAAAAAGCCAGGAACGGACUGAGGACAAGAUAUCCCCUCCAGCAGCACCCCCCCCCCAGUGAGCUACUCCCUUCAGGCGGGCCCCACCUCCUAAUGAAACACACAGCUAAAUAUUCGGCAAUGGACCAAUCCCUUGAUGAGGUCAGAAACUCAUGAUCAAAUCUCUGUCUCACCUUUGAACAUGGCUGCUUUGAAGAUCAACCUCCCCGACGUGAGUCUUUGGGGACAUUUCAUAUUUAAACCGCCUCUCAUAAUCUUUCAAUUAAACAUUUUCUUUGAAA